AGCCUGAAAAUAAUCCCCUCACACUUCCUGUCCUCUUUUCUGUCAGCUCUAGCUCUGGGAAGCAACAUGAAAAGAGCACAAUAAUCCUGCCCUGCAGCUCCUGCAGGACAUUGGCAGGGAAAGGAGAAAAGGAAUUAUUCAUAUUUUGGCUGAAAGGACUGGUGACCUCUACCUGUGCAGAAGUCAUGAAUGUCUAGAAAAUGAAAGCAGAGAGAGGGUACAGGGAUUUAAACAAAGAUGAGGAAAAACCUCUGGAUUUUUAGAGCCUGAUUCUUGCUAGUGUAAAUCAGGAGGAACCCCCAGCAAAUCCAAUCAAGUGAUCUCAGUGCAAAAAUUUUGGGAGCCACAGCAGUAUCAGGAGUGCUCAGCCUAACCUUCUCCAAAUUCUGCAACAAAUGCCCCAUGAUGGAAUGGCAAGCUCCAAAAUUCAGUUUUGAGACCAGACUUCCUGAGCAGCAUGGGGUAGCCUGUCCUCUGUAUGAAGAAUUUCAUCAGCUACUGAGAGAACAACUGUACAGAGAAACAAAAGGGCAUCAUCAUGGCUUUUAAAAGAACAGGAGCUUCUGAGAAAUUUCAGGUACACAACAUUCCUUUAAGGUGUGUAUGGGAUGCUGCCCUUGUUCAUUAGGCCAUUAAAUACCAGAGAAUGAGCAGUUCCCUCUCGUGAGCAGUGUGCAAUAAACCAGCUCCUCUUUCCACCCUGCCAAGAGACCUGUGCAAUCAGACCCCUGUGACACCGACACCCACAGUGCUCUGCAGGACUGCACAGCUCUACCUUGAAGUACCAUUUCGUGGCAUCAGAGAGUCCAGAAUUAAACACAAAACAUUCUGCUAAUCCUUGUUAAGUUGACAAAGAAAGCUGUCACCUGUACUUGAUCAGCUCCUAAAGAAAACUGUUCCCCUUGCUAGGACAUCAGACUGUGCUCGUGGCCAGACACAGAGACUCAGCACUG
rnacentral:lncRNA from 1 species